ensembl:snRNA U6 U6 spliceosomal RNA
GUGCUUUCUUAUGCAACACUUAUAGUAAAAUUAGAACAAUACAGAGAAGAUUAGCCUUUGCACAAAGAUGACACACAAAUUGAUUUAAAAAAAAAAGAAGAAA